UACGUAGGUGGCAAGCGUUGUCCGGAUUUACUGGGCGUAAAGAGCGCGCAGGCGGUCGGAUAAGUCGAAUGUGAAAGCCCCCGGCUCAACUGGGGAGGGUCAUUCGAUACUGUUCGACUCGAAGGCAGGAGAGGGAAGUGGAAUUCCCGGUGUAGUGGUGAAAUGCGUAGAUAUCUGGAGGAACACCGGUGGCGAAGGCGGCAUCCUGGACCAACACUGACACUGAGGAGCGAAAGCCAGGGGAGCAAACGGG
rnacentral:rRNA from 1 species